rnacentral:rRNA from 1 species
GUGGGGAAUAUUGGGCAAUGGGCGAAAGCCUGACCCAGCAACGCCGCGUGAAGGAAGAAGGCCUUCGGGUUGUAAACUUCUUUUAAGAGGGACGAAGAAGUGACGGUACCUCUUGAAUAAGCCACGGCUAACUACGUGCCAGCAGCCGCGGUAAUACGUAGGUGGCGAGCGUUAUCCGGAUUUACUGGGUGUAAAGGGCGCGUAGGCGGGAAUGCAAGUCAGAUGUGAAAUCCAAGGGCUCAACCCUUGAACUGCAUUUGAAACUGUAUUUCUUGAGUGUCGGAGAGGUUGACGGAAUUCCUAGUGUAGCGGUGAAAUGCGUAGAUAUUAGGAGGAACACCAGUGGCGAAGGCGGUCAACUGGACGAUAACUGACGCUGAGGCGCGAAAGCGUGGGGAGCAAACAGGAUUAGAAACCCCAGUAGUCC